UAGAAGAAAGUAAGAAAGGGUACACGGGGGAUGCCUAGGCUCUCAGAGGCGAUGAAAGACGUGAUAAGCUGCGAUAAGCCGCGGGGAUCAGCAAAUAUGAAUUGAUCCGCGGAUUUCUGAAUGGGGAAACCUAACUAUUUGAAGAAUAGUUGCAAUAAUGCGCUAACCUGCUGAACUGAAACAUCUAAGUAAGCAGAGGAAGAGAAAACAACAGUGAUUUCCUGAGUAGUGGCGAGCGAAAGGGAAGAAGCCCAAACCAUAUAUGUUACGGCAUAUACGGGGU
rnacentral:rRNA from 1 species